rnacentral:rRNA from 1 species
UUUUAUGGAGAGUUUGAUCCUGGCUCAGGAUGAACGCUGGCGGCGUGCCUAAUACAUGCAAGUCGAGCGAACAGACGAGGAGCUUGCUCCUUCGACGUUAGCGGCGGACGGGUGAGUAACACGUAGGUAACCUACCUAUAAGACUGGGAUAACUUCGGGAAACCGGAGCUAAUACCGGAUAAUAUUUCGAACCGCAUGGUUCGAUAGUGAAAGAUGGCUUUGCUAUCACUUAUAGAUGG